UCACCUAUUACACUCCUUCAAAGACAUUGC
rnacentral:piRNA from 1 species